GCAGCAGGGGUGUAGCAAUACACUCGCUGGCGACCGGCAAACGGGUCGGGAACACGUACGCAACUUACCCAUAACUGGGGAAUAGCCCGGGGAAACCCGGAUUAAUACCCCGUAACAUAAUUGAAUGGCAUCAUUUGAUUAUUAUAGAUUUUAUCGGUUAUGGAUGGGCGUGCGCCUGAUUAGGUAGUUGGCGGGGUAACGGCCCACCAAGCCUACGAUCAGUAACUGGUGUGAGAGCACGACCAGUCACACGGGCACUGAGACACGGGCCCGACUCCUACGGGAGGCAGCAGUAAGGAAUAUUGGUCAAUGGACGCAAGUCUGAACCUAGCCAUGCCGCGUGAAGGAUGAAGGUCCUCUGGAUUGUAAACUUCUUUUAUAUGGGACAAAAACCCUCGGAUUCU
rnacentral:rRNA from 1 species